AAGUCCUCGUGUUGCAUC
rnacentral:snRNA from 1 species